rnacentral:rRNA from 1 species
UGGGGAAUUUUGGACAAUGGGCGAAAGCCUGAUCCAGCAAUGCCGCGUGUGUGAAGAAGGCCUUCGGGUUGUAAAGCACUUUUGUCCGGAAAGAAAUCCUUGGCUCUAAUACAGUCGGGGGGAUGACGGUACCGGAAGAAUAAGCACCGGCUAACUACGUGCCAGCAGCCGCGGUAAUACGUAGGGUGCAAGCGUUAAUCGGAAUUACUGGGCGUAAAGCGUGCGCAGGCGGUUUGCUAAGACCGAUGUGAAAUCCCCGGGCUCAACCUGGGAACUGCAUUGGUGACUGGCAGGCUAGAGUAUGGCAGAGGGGGGUAGAAUUCCACGUGUAGCAGUGAAAUGCGUAGAGAUGUGGAGGAAUACCGAUGGCGAAGGCAGCCCCCUGGGCCAAUACUGACGCUCAUGCACGAAAGCGUGGGGAGCAAACAGGAUUAGAUACCCUGGUAGUCCACGCCCUAAACGAUGUCAACUAGUUGUGGGGAUUCAUUUCCUUAGUAACGUAGCUAACGCGUGAAGUUGACCGCCUGGGGAGUACGGUCGCAAGAUU